GACGAAGGGGGCUAGCGUUGUUCGGAAUUACUGGGCGUAAAGCGCGUGUAGGCGGUUGUUCAAGUCGGGCGUGAAAGCCUUGAGCUCAACUCAAGAAAUGCACUCGAUACUGGAUGACUUGAGGACCGGAGAGGAUAGUGGAAUUCCCAGUGUAGUGGUGAAAUACGUAGAGAUUGGGAAGAACACCAGUGGCGAAGGCGGCUAUCUGGACGGUUUCUGACGCUAAGACGCGAAAGCGUGGGGAGCAAACAGG
rnacentral:rRNA from 1 species